rnacentral:sRNA from 1 species
UUUUCGACACCAGAUGCAGUGGUGAUGC